CCCCACUCCCCCCCACUCCUCCCCCACCCCCCGCCGCUGUCCUGCCCAGAGGCCCGCCGGGGCGGGGUGGGGGAGGCGGCACCGGCGCUCGGGUAGCCGCAGCGGCCCGGCAGCCGCGAGCUCUCCGCAGUGAUGUCAACCGCAUCCGCCGCAGCCCCCGGCAGCCCUCGCCCGCGCCGCGGCCCGCGGAAACCGCAGCCCGGAGCCUCCCGCCAGGGCCGAGAAGCGGAGGGCGCGCGGGUCCCGGGAGACCCCCCAAUCCGUCUGCCUAAGCGGGAGAGACCGGGAGUGGACGCCCGGCGAUGCCGGGACCCCCGGGGCGGAGGAAGGGGAAGAGGAGUUGGAAGGGGGCGGUAGAAUCAGGUGUCGAUUUGGCGCCCGCGGCCGCGGAGGGGACACUGCCCCGGACUGCUGCUGCCCAGGGGGCGUUCAGGGAGCGUAGAGCGCCGACCACUGCAGAUGCGGCGGCGCGCGUGGGCUCGGGCAGGCGCCCCCUUCUCCCGGGAUAGAAACUGAUAAACGGAAGCGCUUGUGAGUGUGGGGGUGCGAAUCGCCACCUCCGGCCUUGGCUUUCCCGCUCUUCCGAGCGCUCCCACUUCUCACUUUCCCCAAAUCCGCAUUUUCCUUGGCACAGCUCUCCCGGAGCACGAAGGAGAGGGAGGUACCCGGGGGCAGUGAGAAUGACGUGUGCUGGUGCAGAGAGGGUGGGGGGCUGCGGGCCUGGCUCUGUGGACCGGCUCCUAAUCCUCUUGUUUUCGGAACCGUCAGCAGAUGUGUCUUCUUUUACCUGAAUAAUCCGUUAAAGGAAUAAUUUUUAAAGCGGAGUCGAUCUCACCCAAAGAGGACGGCGCCCAAGAUUAGGGCUUGAUCCACUGUCUUUGGUUGGGCUGGCUGAAUCGCUGGGGAUUGUGGCCAGUCUCGUAAAAAGGAGAACAAAAAGCUGAAGACCUUGUGUGGCUGCCGGGACAAAGCACCUUGGGCUCAGCUAGAAGGGAUGAGCAGGAGCGCUGGCCCCGGAACACGCGUGGCCGCUGCGGAAGAGCGUCCGCCCAGGCGUGCAGACCGCUGAGGGUAUUCGGAUUGAAUUGUAUUUGUCCUUGUGUCUUGCUUUCAGUGUCGACGUAGGUGAGGGGUCGGGGUUUUUGGAUUCUCUUUUUUUCUUGGGAGGGGUAGCUGAAUUGUGGGAGACCCAAGUGGACUUGACUUGGCUUUCCUGCUACCCUGCCCCGCCUUCCCAAGACGAGGCGGUUGGGAAGGGGACAGGGGACUCUAGGCUUAGAAAAGGGAAGGAGUCCCCUGCUGCCUGGAGGGCUAAAGGAGUAGAAGGUCAAGGUGGAGAUGAGUGGGGAUGGGCCAGUCCGAGGAGCACUUCGGAGGAGAAGGGGUCUCCCCCACCCUCGGGUCCACAGGAUGAGUUUUGCUGGGAAUGAGAAUGUGGGUGUCUGUUGACGGGAGCGCUGAGAAAUUGAUGAGAAAUUGACAUGUCCGUGCACAUGCAUGAGGCGGCGACAGGAUUUGUGUGUAAACAGAGUGGAGAGGUAGAGGAGGGCAUGGAGGGGGUGGCUUAAAAUAAUGUCUUAUUGUCCCUGUGGCUUUGGGGACUCGUCCUCUGUCUCACCCCCUUUUCUUUUUUUUGACCCGGGGAUCCAGCCGCAUUAUACACGAGUGACCUUUUAGAUCUACGUCCACCCUUUACCUGAUAAAGCCCGUUGACAGCUGGGGGUGGGGUGGGGAGAGUGUAGGGGUGCUCUCUCCCUCUCUCCCUCCCUCCGCCUUUCCUCCCUCGCUCCCCCCUGCACUCCUCUCGCUUCCUCCCUCCCACCUCCCUCGCUCCCGCCCUCCCUGCUGCAUUUUGCAUGAGCUAUCUAGGUCAUUAGCAUUUUAGCGUAUGCAAGACUUGACAAAGCUGAUGAGGGGCCAGAUGGGCCUCGCUCUUAUGGGGUUUUUUUUCCUUCUCUCUCUCUCUCUCUCUCUCUCUCUCUCUCUCUCUCUCUCUCUCUCUCUCUCUCUCUCUCUCUCUUUCUCUCUCUCUCUCUUUCCCUUUCCCCCCUUCACCACUUGGGACCUGAACGAGAGGACUGCGGCGGGCGAGUUCCGGAAGGCUGAAUCCCCAGGUCCCGGCCCCGGACCGCGUCUGCUAGCGCCUGCGGCACGCCCGGCCCGGCUGCGCCUGCACUCAAUCACCGAGGAAAAAGCCUGGAUGCGAAAGGAUGGGGGAGAACAAAGAGCCUUUGGAAGACGUCGCUGUUAUCUCAUUGUCUGUGUGAUUGAGGGAGCUGCGGCGGGGAGGAUGCUGUGGUCCCUUCCUCCGGUGCUCCCCCACCCCCAUCCGUCUCCCUGCUGUCAGUGCGCACUUACACGCGCCGCUUUUUAUUUCUUUUUCCUGGUUUUCUUAUUCCAUCUUCUACCUAGCCCCGCUUCCUUUCUUUCACCUUUCCUUCCUUCCUUCGUCCUUUCCUUCCUCAGGAGAAAGGCCUCUCUCUCCGUGUUCACAGCGGACCUUGAUUUAAAUGUCCAUACAAUUAAGGCACGCGGUGAAUGCCAAGAAUGGGGCUGGCUGAGCACCUUGGGUCCGCGAGGGCCCGCCAAGGAAGGAGCCACCGACCGAGCCGGGCGCCCUCCGCAGACCUCCGCGCAGCGGCUGCGGGCGCGAGGGGAGGGGUCUCGAACUCUCUCCGGCUGAGGGUCCCGAGCCCGUGGGGUGGGGAGGUGUGCAGCCUGUGACAGACAGGGGCUUAGAGAUGCAAACAGACUCAGGGAGAGAAACAGAAGCUGAUUCUGUGACAGAAGCAGAUCUGUGCAGCACAGAUGCGGCGUGCGUGGGGUGGGGGUCGCCUGGGAGCGCAUUGCGGAGUGCUUGUGUGUGUAGAUUUUUCUCUGGGCUUAGGACUCAUUGUAUGUGGGUCAACACCUUUCUCCGUGGCUGUGUUUUUGUUCUGGGCUUAGUUUUUUGGUUUGCCCUUUUAAAAAAAAAAAUCAUUUGGCAUCCAGAGACUGGCAGACUGCCCCAGGGCCUGGACUGCGGAUAUCUUGUGUUCUGCUUGAGGUUUGGGGAGGAGAGAAGGCGGUUGGAAGGGAGAGGGGAAGCUGUUUGUCACCCUUUGCUGUAUAGCUGAGAGCACCUGACAAGCUUAAGGAAGUCGUUGGGCUAGGUGGACAAGAAGGAGCCAGCUCCCGGCAGGUUCACAAGCUCCAUCUGAGCUGAAAGCCUGGCCAUAGCUCUAAGGAGCACCUCACGCCUUCCCUGUAGCUGUUAUUGCAGUUUCAGGCAGAGAUCCAAGAGCUGCAGAGGAAGGGAGAGGCACAAUAACCGACCCGGACCCCAGGGAAGCAUGUGUUCCUUUAAAAAUGUGAACAGAAGGAAACACAGAAUGUGUGCAAGUGGGGGUCUGAGGAAAGACUGUUUUGAAAGAGGCUGUCAGGGAAUUGAAAGGGUUAAGCCUCCCUCAUCCUGAAGAACCUGCUUCCCAAAUCAGGCCUUCCUCCCAUCACUAGACCCUGAGCAGCAGCUGGUCCUAGAGACCCCCCUCGUACUGUGCUGCCACAAUCUCAUCCCAUUUCCAGCUCUGUAUUAACCACCAAGCUGCAGCGGAUGGGGCAAGACCUAAGCUCAUUAAUUUCCAGGUGGAGGAAAUGGAGGAGGGGCAGGUCCCUGCAGCAGAGGGAGGAGCAGAGAAAAGAGGCCAAGAGCUGGAUCCUUCUGCCCAGGAAGCCUGCUGCAUCCCUUCCCCCGAGCAUGGCAGAGGCCUGGCUUUGCAAGGCCAAGGCUAUAAGGGAUGCUUAGGAGAUUAAUUUGAUUCCUGACACAGCAAUCAAGGCCUGAGAGUCUCCACUGAAGCUUACUGAGGACUUCUUUCCUCUCCAAAGCCUCAGUCUAGCCACUUAAAUAAAUUAGCAUUCACUGGUGCCUUGAACCAGGGCCCUUCCCUAGCCUCAGUUCCCCCAAAUAUUUAUUGAGUGCCUACUAUGUGCAAUCCUUGUGUAAUUAUUAUCUCUUAGGCUCUUCAUUUGGCCUCCUAAGGGAGUGUUUGGAAUCAGGCAGAGGUUAAGUGUGUUGCACCCCACCUACGUACUUCCAGAACCUUCUCUGGGUCUGCAGAAUGUGCCACAACUUGCUUGCCCCUGUGGAGAGAAACCUGCAGUGCACAUCCUGCAGACUGCAGGUGCUGGGCUACCUCUGGAGUCCCAGAAGGCAAGCUUGGCCACAGGACAGAAAGGAGAACAGCUUCUCACCCCUGCACCUUAACAAGCCUUGUCUAGUCACCACUGCCUUUAAAAUAUACCUCUCUUGAAACUGGUAGCUUCCUAAGUCCUGGGGUCUCUGCUGCCCUUUCUGGACAGGUUCAGGAAGAAGAAAGCAGUCAAUAUUGGGCCUCGUUGGGGUGUAAAGCCCCUUGCUCUGCCCUCUCUGCUCACUGUGAAGGCUGCUGGAUGCUUCUUUUAAGCAUGGUUUAAGCCUCUGAUUACUAAACCCUUUGCCCCACAAACUUCCACAUUGGAGAGCCUCUUUUCGGUAAUUGCUUCUGCAUAAUACCUUCAGAGGUUGCUGUACCCUUCACUGAUGUGCCCUCUGGUCAAAUCUCCAGAUGCUUCCCCACGUAAUGCCCCUUUCAGAUGCUUUAAGCUGAGAGCUUAAACCGCAGGUACCAUGGCCGCCGCCUGCCUGCCAGGUUUCUGCUUCGGAUAAUCUAGGAUGGGAGGGGCAUAUUUUUUACUUCAUUACUUAUAUAAACUCUUGCUCCAGAAAGUGUUCACGUGUGCGGGCAUGUUCUGGGUCUGCUAGGUCUGUGUGCAUGGGUAUGGGUAUUUGCCUCUGUCCGCCGGGUGGGUCUCAUUACAAAAUGCAUGUCUAUGUAGGGCUUCAAUGGCCGAAAGUGGCAAAGAUAGGAAUGGACAACUUGGCCCCGUGUGUAAUUGCAAGGCCCCUUCUGUGCUCAAACAAGGUGGCCCCGUGAAGGUCAGCCCUUUCCUUCUGGGUUUGGGGCCUAUUUAUGCCACCAGUCAUUUUACAAGAAAUCUGAAAAUGUCUCCCCUUUGAGGGCAUUUAACUCUUUGGCAUCUUCUUCUCUUCCCUAUUUGAGCACCUCUAACUACAGUCUAUGGCUUCCAUGAAAGGGGAAUUAUACGGUUAGGAAAAAGUAGGACAGGGUAGAGACAGUUUGCUGACUGGAUGUGCAAAGAAGGCCCUGAUGGGUUUAUACACACCACUGCCAUCACAGUCCUGCGAGCUAACAUGAUUCUUGUGGUAACUGUACCAGAUACUUUCGGAUUUAGAAAUGUACCAAAGGAAAAAUUGGUAAUACUCUUCUUUCCCCACCAUUGACAGCCCAGAUCUCCGCUUAAGCGGAAAAGAGAUUGACCUUCUAACAGAGGCAAAGGUAAACUCCUGUAAGUUACUUAUGUUACCAAAGGGAGGGGGCGGCUUUUGUGAAUGUAUGAGGAGCUUCUGCCAGAGAAAUAUUCGGGGGAGGGGUGUGCCCAGGUGCACACAUACAUACAUACAUUUCCCCACAUAACCAUAUCCAGUGCUAGCAUUUAGAGGAAGGCAUGUAGGCACCAAAAGUCCAUCCACCUAUGCUGCUUCCACAGGGAAAUCAUUUUCCCUUUCCUCCUCUUGAACUUACAUAAUACCCCCUCCCAUUCCAACCUGAGAAUGGAGCCUUUUGGGGGCAGCUGCAAAGCGUUCUCCCUGGGACAGAUGGAGCCGCCCUUUCCUCAUCUACUCUGUGGGUGGUUUCAGGGCCCAUGAGUCAACAUGAGGUGUUGUGCUGGGGGUAUGUGUGUUGGAGGCUGGGCUAGCUGAUUCACAGUGACAAGGAUGUCAAUAGUAACGAGAAUGAGAAUGAUGGUACCUAAUAAAGAAUUUUUUCCUCCAUGUCCCAUCUACAAUUCUUUCACUGGGUGUUUUGCCAAGUCUUUCUCAAUCUCAUUUCAGCUUUUUUUAAGAAAAUGUUUUUAAUACUUAAUUGUAUCACAAAUGUAGAAAUAGAAGAAAAAAAGGACUUCAAACGGAAUUCAACGAGGCAAUGUGUGCUGGUGUUUGCCUUAUAGAGCUGUUCGGAAGGCCUGGAAUGAUCUCCGGCACCAAAUUUAGAUGGCCUCAAAAAAAUAAAAUAAAAUAAAAUCAGGCCUUAUUGAGGGCAAAGAAUGUUCCAGGUCAGAAAUAAAAGUGUCACCAACUCUC